AAAACACCUUUGGAAGACCUACAUGAGCUAUACAGGAUCAGAUGAAGGGCUCUAUGUCAUUGCUAAAGCUUAAUGGACAAAAUAGGAUGUUGACAAGGCUCUUGAGACCGAACCUGGACCGCCCCAUCACUGAGGAAAAAUAAUCUGCAUCUGAGGAACACGAAACUGCUGGAAACCCCUUGGCAUGUAGAAGGUGUCUGGUCUGGAAGCUCAGGCAGAAGCGUGGUGUCAGGCAAUUCACAAAUAGGUUGGGGAAAGCUUUGUCAGUAUGCUCUUUUCUCUCCACAACAUAGUCCCGGGCAAGUUAUAAUCUUUCAGUGAAUAACACGAGACUGAAUAAAUAGAUACAUACUUACGUGCUUAUAAAUACAU